rnacentral:rRNA from 1 species
AUGGCCAAAGCUUGGAGAAGUAAUUAUCAUGGGAUAUCUCAGGUAUCAAAGUCGAUGUUCAUGGCUCAUUUUAGAACAUUAGAAGCUAUGAUGUUUGUUAUCACAAGACAACCUUGGAUUAUGGGUUCUGAUAAUCUGUUGUUGGAGUGGCUCGAUCCUUCUGACGAGGCAAAAGAAAAGGAGGACUAUCGGUUCGACACUAUAUAUGUCACCAUCAGGAUUUAUGGUAUUCUGGAACAGGUAGGAGAGCCAUCUGAAUUUCAUCCACUUCAUCAGGGUAUGCUAUAUGCUAAAGCAGAGUAUAUGUGGGGCACUGCUAGGUUGCAGAUUAAUAGUCCAAUUAAGGAUAGGAUUAUGGUCAACUUUCCAAAUGAAUCAUCUGGUUUAGCUUAUCUAUUCUAUGAGAAAAUUGGGAGAAUCUGCACUUUCUGUGGAAUUAUGUUCCACAAUGUUCAGGGAUGUCCUCUCAGGAAUCAGAUUAUCUUAAACAGGCAAAAAAGAGGAAUUUCUACUACAGAUGUUCCAUCAAAGAGAUUUGGAGAAUGGAUCAAUACUCUA